AACGCGAAGAACCUUACCAAGGUUUGACAUGGCCGGAAAACUCGUAGAGAUACGGGGUCCUUCGGGGCCGGUCACAGGUGGUGCAUGGCUGUCGUCAGCUCGUUGUCGUGAGAUGUUGGGUUAAGUCCCGCAACGAGCGCAACCCUCGUCCUAUGUUGCCAGCAGGUUAAGCUGGGGACUCAUGGGAGACUGCCGGGGUCAACUCGGAGGAAGGUGGGGAUGACGUCAAGUCAUCAUGCCCCUUAUGUCUUGGGCUGCAAACAUGCUACAAUGGUCGGUACAAAGCGCUGCGACACCGUGAGGUGAAGCGAAUCGCAUAAAGCCGGUCUCAGUUCGGAUCGGGGUCUGCAACUCGGCCCCGUGAAGCUGGAGUCGCUAGUAAUCGCAGAUCAGCAACGCUGCGGUGAAUACGUUCCCGGGCCUUGUACACACCGAUAGC
rnacentral:rRNA from 1 species